rfam:Papilio machaon contig63202, whole genome shotgun sequence.
UCACUCUGGUUUCCCUUCAAAACGUAUAAAUCUUUCGCCUUUUACUAAAGAUUUCCGUGGAGGGGAACACUCAAAUGAGUCUAGAAUUAUUUUUGACGCCCUACGUUCGUAGGGCA